rnacentral:rRNA from 1 species
UACGUAGGGGGCGAGCGUUGUCCGGAUUUAUUGGGCGUAAAGAGCGUGUAGGCGGCCAGGUAGGUCUGCUGUGAAAACUCGAGGCUCAACCUCGAGAUGUCGGCAGAAACCCUCUGGCUAGAGUCCGGAAGAGGAGAGUGGAAUUCCCGGUGUAGCGGUGAAAUGCGCAGAUAUCGGGAAGAACACCCGUGGCGAAGGCGGCUCUCUGGGACGGUACUGACGCUGAGACGCGAAAGCGUGGGGAGCGAACAGG